AUGAACGCUGGCGGCGUGCCUAAUACAUGCACGUCGAGCGAACAGACGAGGAGCUUGCUCCUCUGACGUUAGCGGCGGACGGGUGAGUAACACGUGGAUAACCUACCUAUAAGACUGGGAUAACUUCGGGAAACCGGAGCUAAUACCGGAUAAUAUAUUGAACCGCAUGGUUCAAUAGUGAAAGACGGUUUUGCUGUCACUUAUAGAUGGAUCCGCGCCGCAUUAGCUAGUUGGUAAGGUAACGGCUUACAAAGGCAACGAUGCGUAGCCGACCUGAGAGGGUGAUCGGCCACACUGGAACUGAGACACGGUCCAGACUCCUACGGGAGGCAGCAGUAGGGAAUCUUCCGCAAUGGGCGAAAGCCUGACGGAGCAACGCCGCGUGAGUGAUGAAGGUCUUCGGAUCGUAAAACUCUGUUAUUAGGGAAGAACAAAUGUGUAAGUAACUAUGCACGUCUUGACGGUACCUAAUCAGAAAGCCACGGCUAACUACGUG
rnacentral:rRNA from 1 species